rnacentral:tRNA from 1 species
GUGGGUAUAGCUCAGGGGUUAGAGCGCCAGGUUGUGGCCCUGGAGGCCGAGGGUUCAAAUCCCUCUAUCCACCCCA